rnacentral:pre_miRNA from 1 species
GUUUUUUGAGGGGAAUGUUGGCUGGCUCGAGGCAUUCACAUAAGAAGAAGAUAUAUAAGUGAAGGUGUCGGACCAGGCUUCAUUCCUCUCAAAUAUACA